GCUUACGGCCAUACCACCCUGAAUGCGCCGAUCUCGUCUGAUCUCGGAGCUAAGCAGGGUCAGGCCUGGUUAGUACUUGGAUGGGGCCGCCUGGAAUACCAGGUGCUGUAAGCU
rnacentral:rRNA from 1 species